GAUGAACGCUAGCUACAGGCUUAACACAUGCAAGUCGAGGGGAAACGACAUUGAAAGCUUGCUUUUGAUGGGCGUCGACCGGCGCACGGGUGAGUAACGCGUAUCCAACCUGCCCACCACUUGGGAAUAACCUUGCGAAAGUAAGACUAAUACCCAAUGAUAUCCCACGAAGGCAUCCGAAUGGGACUAAAGAUUUAUCGGUGAUGGAUGGGGAUGCGUCUGAUUAGCUUGUUGGCGGGUAACGGCCCACCAAGGCAACGAUCAGUAGGGGUUCUGAGAGGAAGGUCCCCCACAUUGGAACUGAGACACGGUCCAAACUCCUACGGGAGGCAGCAGUGAGGAAUAUUGGUCAAUGGGCGAGAGCCUGAACCAGCCAAGUAGCGUGCAGGAUGACGGCCCUAUGGGUUGUAAACUGCUUUUAUAAGGGAAUAAAGUGAGCCUCGUGAGGCUUUUUGCAUGUACCUUAUGAAUAAGGACCGGCUAAUCCGUG
rnacentral:rRNA from 1 species